CUUAGUGGGUCGAAGAAAAAAGUCCGGUUGGCUCCAACGAAGAAGAGGUGCUGGGAAGGAAGCCGGUGCAUGCCGCCGAAGAUGGGGCUACAGGCAGCGCAGGCGUGGACGGCGGCGGGAGGCCAGGAGCAGGCCGGCGGCGACGCCGCAGCCUUGGCCGGAGUUGCCUCCGUUGUUCAAAGACUACUACGUCUCCUCCCUGGAGCAGUGGUUCCCCCACCGCGAGAGGCAGACGAGGAGCGACGAGUGGAGGAGGUUGCCGCGGCGACGAGUUCGUAACCUCUCCGACGGCAAGUUCCGCCUGCCUAUGUCGAAGACCUGCACCUCCCCUGCGUUCUAUGUGAUGCACCUCGUUCCCAGGCCCGUCGGGUAGCACGAGUAGGUGCCGAAGCCGCGCAGCCGCAAGGUGACCUCCAUGUUGUAGGGCCUCGACCGGUUCUUCAUGUUCCACAUGCGGCACCUGGACGACCCGAAGCCGACCUCGCUCUUCCGCGACCACGUCAUGCUGCGGUGGUAGACCUACCUCGUCCAGAGGCUGAAGGAGUCCCUCCAGCAGGUCAGCGGUAGGCAGCAGCAGCCGUUGUCGAAUCCACCGAAGUGCUGCGACAAGCGCCGCUGCCUCCACGGCCUCGACCAGGCCCCGCAGCACGACGAGUUGAGGCGGCCGGUCAAGCGCCUGGGGUUGCGCGGCGGGUUCCGACUUCUCCGCCGCCGCCGCCUCCUCCUCCACUCGCGCGACUGCUCCGAGUAGCACUUCGGCGAGUUCCUCCGGAAGGUCGCCCAGCACGAGCCCAAGGAGAAGACCGUCCGGUUCGUCGGCCGGUCCCAGCUCUUUCAGGAGUUUUCGCACAUGUUUCUAGGCUCGUUGCACCUGCUCAUGGACUAGUCGAGCUAGUGCCGCGGCUGCCGGCUGGGCUUGCGGCCGCUCCACAUGAUGUCCGAGUACAGCGCCAAGCACCGCUUGGUCUCGGUCAUGUGCGACCUGUUCGACGACCCCUUCGACUGCACGGGCGACGACGACGACACCCCCCUGGACCUGGGCACCCAGCCGGGCAGGUUCCGCCGUUCCUAGGUGCUCAAGAUGCGGUUGAGGUGGCAGCAGUUGGACGUCCGGCCGGUGACGGGCGUGCUGCUCCGCGGCCUCGUCAAGUUGCGCCGCGACGAGGUCACCGAGCGCAGCGACCUCCUCCUCCGGCCGCUGUUCGGCCGGCUCGGGUCGGAGGUCCAGCACACUAAGAACAUGGACAUGGGGUUAGGCUGUCUCCCGCAAGGUCACUUCUUCUAGCACACGAAUGCCCUGGACGGCUCCUAGCACUUCUACAUAUGGGCCAUGAUCGAAUGUUCACCGUAAAUCGAACAUCGUUAUGAACGAUGCAUCUAUCCUUGUCUCAUUUAACUCUUCACAUUCUCGUAGAGAUCGGCUAUAGAUUUUCCGAUAUCUCUUCAUGUUUUAAAUAAAAUGAGGAGAUUGGAUGUGGAUCGACUUAAGGAUUUAAAAUAUCACCUCAUUUUUUAAAUGAGGCGGAGGAUUUUUGUGAGCCGGAGCUGACGUGCCUCAUUUGAAACGCCGGAGAGAUGGUGGAGGGGUGGGGGUGACGAAACAGCGACCACGUGGAGGGCUGCUGGCCGUUGGUGGGGCCGGCGAUGGAGCGGCGGAGGGAACCGGGAGCGGCGGGAAGACGGGUCAUACUCGGGAAGUGGCCGUCAACGGCCUUAGCUCCAAAAAGGGUGUGCAGCCAAGGGCGAUCAAACCGGAUUUGCAGCGGCCAGCAGGCUACGUGGUGGUGGCGGAACGUUCACAAGCUGCCAAAACGAAUCUACUUCUCCGACUCUCUCUAUUAGAAGCUCCUGAGUAGCAAUAGGCUUCUCCUUCUUCUGCCGUUACUGAAGCUUUGACAAGAACCAUACUAAAAGUUACUACUAUAAGCCGCCGACUCCUCUCCUAGUGUUAAACCGGUGUAUGUUGAGUUGGCACUAUCUUACCUCCCGGUACGGUUCUAGUUCUCUCCAAUAAAACCAGGAUUAGGUUGGAUAGACCUCUUCAUAGAAGUGUCUGCGAAAACAUACGUGUGUUCAGAAAAAGAGUGGCAAGGUUUUCGGAAACUCUUCAUAAUGUUAACCAAGUUCGAAUCUUCCUUACGUAUCCUCUCCGUUCACGUUUGGGAUACUACUUCACGUAACGCCAACAAGCUCAAAACCGUAUACCCACAAGCCGGCUACGUUAACUGCCGAUACAUGCGUAACCUCUUCUGUGUUAGAACUUCCGGCAAGCUUCCAAGUGUUUUCGUCACCAACAACACCUGACGCCAUGAACUCCCGUGGGUUAAUCUUUCUGUGGCUCUCCGAAUACCGUGUCUCACUUUGUUCUCCUACCGAUCCCUACGAACCUAGUCAACUAACUUACGUGAGCUGGACCUUCUUAGCAGGAUGUCCCACCUUUCCAGUCAUGUUUCAUGUAACGUUGUUAGGUUGCUAGUAAGAACUCCGACAACGUAGCCUCCUAGAUACUUAUACCGUAAGUAAGAAACAUCACGGACCGAGAGUGUUACUGGACUUACAGGACAGCUCUAGUUGGGACAAACGAUCCGAAUAAUGUUCUCUACGAGUAGGAACGUUGAUAUAUCAGUUACCAGUUCUGAUGUGCUACCCAAUGAUGGAACGCCUACAGUAGAUAGGGGAUACCCAGUAUAAAAAUUUUUUGUGAAGUGUAGGUU
rnacentral:rRNA from 1 species